AAUUCGAAACGCUCUUUCACCCGGCCACUGGGGAACGUCACAAUAUCACUGGUUCUGUAUUGUGAUGUCAUGCAGAGGGAGGGUCUGCCGCUGACAGCGCGGGAGACCAUUCAGCCCGUCGUCCCUGCCCGCUCCGAACCGAAGCUUAUACCCGCCUCGUACAGCAGCAAGGAAGUUAUGCGAAAGUUGGAAGGUAACUUGGCUGGUUCACGUUUGCACUGUGCGCGCAGUCCUGGUGAGCAUGUUCUGCAGAGUCACUGAAGAGGGUACGGUGCAGAGAAAUCGCAAGGAUGAAUACAGAACUGAAGGAUGAAAAAAAAAGCAGAAAGUGUUGGAGAAACUCAGCAGGUCUGGCAGCCAGAACUGCCUGUUCUGCCUGUUCUGAAGAAGUGCCACUGGACUUCUCUCCACAGAUGCUGUCAGACCUGCUGAGUUUCUCCAGCAAUUUAUGUCUUGGUUCAGAUUUCCAGUAUCCGCAGCUCUCUGUUUGACUUAGGGAUGAAGACAGGCUGGGUUUCGUGUUCUCUUCAAUUCAGAAGGCUGAACGGUCUACUGGACGUUUUUAAAAUCACGAAGCGUCAAUGUAUUCACACUAGUGGGGAGAGCAAAGUGGAACAUCAUCAAGAUAUCAAAUAGUAAAUUCACUCCCAUGUUGAGUUAUGUCCACGCUUGGUUGUCCGGGGAGAGGCAGCUUGUGAUGCUCACUGGCACAGUCGGGGCCUUUCGAGACUGUGGGCAAUGCAGGGACUGGCAUCAUCACCCCAAACAAUGUUACUUUAAUUUAGUAAGAUUCUACGUUCAACAUAGCUUCUACACAGCGCUGGUCUGUAGCACAGAAUUGGUCCCUCACUACCUUGCCCUGCAACUCAGAGUCAGUGUGAUUCCAGCAAUUCCACAGCAAAGACCAAGAACGCAUGUCUAUUCAUGAGGAUUGCCAUGGGAGGCAAGAAUUAAGAUGGAGUUCAGAUCUCAUGCGGUCCCAAAAACUGUUGAAAAUUUCUAUACACCGUGUGUUGGCAAGAAGGGGUUUGGUUACAAGAACUCAAUAUUUCACUGAAAUAAUUCCCAAACUCAUGUUCCAGGACGAUGACUUUACAAAAUACAAUAACACUGGGAAGUCCUUAGCUGGAGAGAAGUUUGCCGAUGAGAAUUUCCAGUUGAAGCACACAGAACCUGGUAUCCUGACUGUGGUCGGUGCAGGGCCAAAGACAAAUGGAUCCCAGUUCUUUAUAUUACUCCUAAAACUGCAUACUUGGACAGAAAGCAUGUUGUAUUUGGUGAAGUCAUAAAGCGCUACAAAAUCAUGGAGAAGAUGGAGGGAUUUGACAGCGAAACUGGCAAAACUAUCAAUUCUGUUGGCAUCAUUAAUGGUGGACAAUGCAAACAGAAUUGUACAAUUUAAAUAAAACUUGGAAAUACAAAUUAUGCAGUCCCUCUCAUGACAAUAUGAGAAAUUAAAAUAUCAAAUUGUUAGUCCUCUGAGGUCAGAGCAAGUGGGUACUGCUGAGGUACAGUGAUUAGUUUGAGCUUUAGAUACAAAAAAAUGUAACAUGUUUCAUUGUUUGGUUAAAUCCAGAUACCUUUUAAUUUGUUGAGCACAGUAUUCACCCAGUAAUAAUGUGUUUUUGUUGAACUAUAUUAAAUUCUAAGAGCUGUAAUUAAAACCUGAGUGAAAUAGACCUUUUGUGCAUUUGCUAUUGUUAAUGAUGGAUAGAAAUAGAUUUCUGUUGACAUCUUGA